AGCUUUAUAGUCAAUAUAAUGAUAUUAGACUGCAAUUCUAAAGUAGAAGAACUUCUAAAGCUU
rnacentral:tRNA from 1 species